rnacentral:rRNA from 1 species
CUCAGUUCGGAUUGGAGUCUGCAACUCGACUCCAUGAAGCUGGAUUCGCUAGUAAUCGCGCAUCAGCCAUGGCGCGGUGAAUACGUUCCCGGGCCUUGUACACACCGCCCGUCAAGCCAUGGAAGCCGGGGGUGCCUGAAGUGCGCCGACCGCAAGGAGCGCCCUAAGGUAAAACCGGUGACUGGGGCUAAGUCGUAACAAGGUAGC